GACGAACGCUGGCGGCGUGCUUAACACAUGCAAGUCGAACGGAAAGGCCCUGCUUUUGUGGGGUGCUCGAGUGGCGAACGGGUGAGUAACACGUGAGUAACCUGCCCUUGACUUUGGGAUAACUUCAGGAAACUGGGGCUAAUACCGGAUAUGAGCUCCUGCUGCAUGGUGGGGGUUGGAAAGUUUCGGCGGUUGGGGCUGGAUUCGCGGCUUAUCAGCUUGUUGGUGGGGUAGUGGCUUACCAAGGCUUUGACGGGUAGCCGGCCUGAGAGGGUGACCGGCCACAUGGGGACUGAGAUACGGCCCAGACGCCUACGGUAGGCAGCAGUGGGGAAUAUUGCACAAUGGGCGGAAGCCUGAUGCAGCAACGCCGCGUGCGGGAUGCCGGCCUUCGGGUUGUAAACCGCUUUCGCCUGUGACGAAGCGUGAGUGACGGUAAUGGGUAAAGAAGCACCGGCUAACUACGUG
rnacentral:rRNA from 1 species